AUGAAGCUUUUCGGAGUGUAAAAUCCUUUCAGCAGGGAAGAAUAUCUUGACGGUACUUGCAGAAGAAGUCCCGGCCAACUCCGUGCCAGCAGCCGCGGUAACACGGGGGGGACAAGCGUUGUUCGGAUUCACUGGGCGUAAAGCGCUCGUAGGUGGGCUGGAUAGUCGGAUGUGAAAACCUGAGGCUUAACUUCAGGCCUGCAUCCGAAACUGCCAGUCUUGAGUACUGGAGAGGGUGGCGGAAUUCCUGGUGUAGCGGUGAAAUGCGUAGAUAUCAGGAGGAACACCGAUGGCGAAGGCAGCUACCUGGACAGAUACUGACACUGAGGGGCGAAGGCUAGGGUAGCAAACAGGAUUAGAUACCCUGGUAGUCCUAGCGGUAAACGAUGGGCACUAGGUGUUGGCGGUAUCGACCCCGCCAGUGCCGCAGCAAACGCAUUAAGUGCCCCGCCUGGGGAGUACGGUCGCAAGAUUGAAACUCAAAGGAAUUGACGGGGGCCCGCACAAGCGGUGGAGUAUGUGGUUCAAUUCGACGCAACGCGCAGAACCUUACCUGAGCUUGACAUAUGCUGGAAAGCCACAGAGAUGUGGUCCCUCUUCGGGAGUCAGUAUACAGGUGCUGCAUGGCUGUCGUCAGCUCGUGUCGUGAGAUGUUGGGUUAAGUCCCGCAACGAGCGCAACCCUCGUCCUUAGUUGCCAUCAGGUUAUGCUGGGGACUCUAAGGAGACUGCCGGUGACAAGCCGGAGGAAGGUGGGGAUGACGUCAAGUCCUCAUGGCCCUUACGCCCAGGGCUACACACGUACUACAAUGGCCGGUAUAGACGGCAGCAAUACCGCAAGGUGGAGCUAAUCCCUAAAACCGACCUCAGUUCAGAUU
rnacentral:rRNA from 1 species